rnacentral:tRNA from 1 species
GGUCCCAUGGUCUAGUGGUUAGGACAAUGGACAUUGAAUUCGGUAACCCGAGUUCUAAUCUCGGUGGGACCU